rnacentral:lncRNA from 1 species
CUUGCCUGUUCUUCUUUCGCUUCUUUCUACCAAGAAUUUUAAAAUUAGAUCGCAUGUACUCGUUAUUCUUCGCAUCCUUGCAACCAACAACGAUGACAGGAAGGUAUGAAUCAAUUUAGAAUCACAUCAAACACCUCUACAGAUUUAAAAGUUCAUAAUCUUUGAUCGGUAACUUACAGGAAACCAUAGCUAAAACGGAUGAUGGCAUCAAAUUGAUUGUGUGUUCUCUAGCACGAAAGAUCAAAGAAAGUAAGUUGGCAUUGCAAUUGCUCACGGAAUUAUCAGAAAAUGAGGUGGCAAGAAACAUAAUUGGGAGUAGUCAAGGUUGCAUACUUCUUCUUGUUACCAUAUCUGGUAGCGAUGAUCCUCAAGUUGCCAAUGACGCCAAAAAACUCUUGGAUAAUCUCUCUUUUCUUCCUCAAAAUAUCGUGCAAAUGGCCAAAGCUAAUUAUUUUGAACCUCUACUUCACCUUCUUUCUUCAGGUAAACAAUAAUGUCUGUAAUUAAUGUUCAAUAGAAAUUGAUGAUGAAAAAACGAAUCAACACAGGGUCUGAAACUGUUCAACGGGAAAUGGCGGAUACAUUAUCAGAAGUUGAGAUGACAGAUCAUGGAAAACUUACAGUUUGUGAAAGCGGAGCAGUAGAGUCGCUUGUUGCUAUGCUUUCUCACGUUGAUAUAGAGAUGAAGAAGGCUGCCAUUUUAGCCCUGGAAAAGCUCUCAGGUGUGCCACAAAAUGGAUUAAAAAUGAUCAAACAAGGUGCAGUGGAUCU